rnacentral:rRNA from 1 species
AAUGCCUAGGCUCUCAGAGGCGACGAAGGACGUGAUAAGCUGCGAAAAUCCGCGGGGAGCUGCACAUGAGCAUUGAUCCGCGGGUGUCCGAAUGGGGCAACCCGGCUGGUUGAAGGCCAGUCACACCGCAAGGUGGGCGAACCCGCUGAACUGAAACAUCUAAGUAGGCGGAGGAAGAGAAAACAAGAGUGAUUCCGAGAGUAGCGGCGAGCGAAAUCGGACUGGCCCAAACCGUUGUUGUUUCGGCAAUGACGGGGUUGUAGGACCACAAUGUUCUUUGCGCGACGAACCGGAAGCAGUUGGAAAGCUGCACGAUAUGGGUGACAGUCCCGUACGGGCAAGGAGCGUUAAAGAUAGUGGUAUCCUGAGUAGCGCG